rnacentral:lncRNA from 1 species
GGCCUAAGAGGUAUUGGGGAGAGGUGAUUAGGCAUGACAUGGCUUGAAUGCGGGUUUCCGAGGACAUGACCCUUGAUAGGAAAGUCUGGAGGUCCACUAUCAGGGUUGUAGGAUAUGGGCUGCUAGAGUUUUUCGUACUACUCACCCGAGGUUGGGUGAGGCUUGGCAGGGCUAUCCAUAGAUGAUUUGUGUAUUGGAUUGUGUCUUCCUUAUGGAGGUCUAGUAUCAGGGUUGUAGGAUAGGGGCCCCUAGAGUUUUCGUACUACUCACCGGGGGUUGGGUGAGGCUUGUUGGGGCUAUCCAUAGAUGAUUUGUGUUUUGGAUU